GGAGGAAAGCAGGGGAUCGCAAGACCUUGCGCUAAAGGAGCGGCCGAUGUCUGAUUAGCUAGUUGGUGGGGUAAAGGCUUACCAAGGCAACGAUCAGUAGUUGGUCUGAGAGGACGGCCAACCACACUGGGACUGAGACACGGCCCAGACUCCUACGGGAGGCAGCAGUGGGGAAUUUUGGACAAUGGGCGAAAGCCUGAUCCAGCCAUGCCGCGUGAGUGAAGAAGGCCUUCGGGUUGUAAAGCUCUUUUAGUCGGAAAGAAAGAGUUGCAAUGAAUAAUUGUGAUUUAUGACGGUACCGACAGAAAAAGCACCGGCUAAAUACGUGCCAGCAGCCGCGGUAAUACGUAGGGUGCGAGCGUUAAUCGGAAUUACUGGGCGUAAAGGGUGCGCAGGCGGUUUUGUAAGUCAGAUGUGAAAUCCCCGGGCUUAACCUGGGAAUGGCGUUUGAAACUACAAAGCUAG
rnacentral:rRNA from 1 species